AAAACAGGAGUUGUUGUGAAGAUUUUCCUGAUUUUUUCAAGAAAUAUGCAGAAUCACAGCGUGUUGUAUGUAGUAAUGAAACUGCAAGCAGUGGUUUCAUAAAGAUAGACAUGCUUAAGACCUGGAUGAUAUGGCUUUAGUUGUGGAUGACCAUUUCCAUUCAGGAAAAAAUCCCAACCAAGUCCAGCUAGCAGACUGUACACCAGAUUGAAGAUACAUCAUUAAUACAAGAUGAAAAAAAUUAAUGGAGGACGAGGAUAAUACUAUGAAAGAGAUCAUAUGCAAGAGCAACCGUUCCCAUAGAAAUACAUGCAGCCAUGUAAACAGAAACCAGUUUUCACCUGCCAGGUGCUGGUCACAUAUAUAUUCAACUUGGAAGUUCAACAGAUUCAAGAAACAGAUCCAGUUGUUUGCUGAUAAAUUACUGCAGGUCAUUGGUAUCAUCUAGAACCAGGACUGUUUUAAAAAUCAUACUAGUAUGUUUGGAACAAAAUCAUGCUAGUAUAUGUUAGGAAUUUAACCUAAAACAUGCUUUAAUUAUGAAGGUUUUGGUCAAAUUUUGGUUUACAAAAUAAUGUUUUUCAAACUUUCUAUUCAAAUUUAGCAAGAACAUUAGACACACAUGUAAUCCCAAAUGGUUUUAUGUUAGAUUAUUGCUUUAUUUAAAAAACUUGCAUAUAGGGUCUGUAAUGAUUUGAGAUAAUUAUGUAAACAAUAAAAUGCUUUUUUGGUGACAUAUGCGGGAUAUGAAUGUAGCGACAUUGCAGAAAAAAUACAUUACCCGCAUUAGCGAGUUAUGUAAAUUUUUUCUGCAAUCAUUGCUCCCUUCAUUACCUGCAUGAAUCGUCAAAGAAAGUUAUAUUGUUUAUAUUUACAUCUUUCUUUUAACAAAUUAAUAAAUUGUUUGUAAAGAGUAAGUUAAAUUUACUAUAUUAUUUUUAAUGUGCAUCAGUACGUUAGCUAAAAGAAACAGCCAAAUUGUC